rnacentral:rRNA from 1 species
GACAGAGGGUGCAAACGUUGCUCGGAAUCACUGGGCGUAAAGGGCGUGUAGGCGGGCAGGAUAGUCAGAUGUGAAAUCCCUGGGCUCAACCCAGGAACUGCAUUUGAAAACUCCCCUGUCUUUGAGUGCUGGAGAGGAAGGCGGAAUUCCUGGUGUAGAGGUGAAAUUCGUAGAUAUCAGGAGGAACACCGGUGGCGAAGGCGGCCUUCUGGACAGUAACUGACGCUGAGACGCGAAAGCGUGGGGAGCAAACAGG